GCGUAAAGGGUGUGCAGGCGGGCAUGCAAGUCCGACGUGAAAGCCCCGGGCUCAACUCGGGAAUUGCGUUGGAAACUGCAUGUCUUGAGGACCAGAGAGGUAGGCGGAAUUCGCGGUGUAGCGGUGAAAUGCGUAGAUAUCGCGAGGAACACCAGUGGCGAAAGCGGCCUACUAGAUGGUUCCUGACGCUGAUACACGAAAGCGUGGGUAGCGAACGGGAUUAGAUACCCCGGUAGUCCACGCCCUAAACGAUGGACACUAGGUGUGGGGGCUUCAACGCCUCCGUGCCGUAGCCAACGCAUUAAGUGUCCCGCCUGGGAAUUACGGCCGCAAGGCUGAAACUCAAAGGAAUUGACGGGGGCCCGCACAAGCGGUGGAGCACGUGGUUUGAUUGGAUGCCAAGCCAAGAACCUUACCAGGCCUUGACAUGUUAGUAGUAGGGACCCUUAAAGGGGACCCGAUCCCUGCUUUGCAGGGAAGCUUUCACAGGUGGUGCAUGGCUGUCGUCAGCUCGUGCCGUGAGGUGUUGGGUUAAGUCCCGCAACGAGCAAAACCCCUACCCUUAGUUGCCAGCCUUGAGUUGGGGACUCUAAGGGAACUGCCCGGGAAAACCGGGAGGAAGGUGGGGAUGACGUCAAGUCCCUAUGCCCCUUAUGGCCUGGGCGACACACGUGCUACAAUGGACGGUACAGAGGGUCGCCACGCCGCGAGGUGAAGCGAAUCCCUUAAAACCGUUCCCAGUUCGGAUUGCAGUCUGCAACUCGACUGCAUGAAGU
rnacentral:rRNA from 1 species